rnacentral:rRNA from 1 species
GGUUGAUCCUGUUCCGGACCUGACUGCUAUCGGAUUGGUACUAAGCCAUGUGAGUCGUUGCAGCAAUGCAAGGCAGACGGCUCAGUAACACGUAGUCAACCUAACCUAUGGACGGGGAUAACCUCGGGAAACUGAGAAUAAUACCCGAUAGAUCAUGAUACCUGGAACGGUUUAUGGUCCAAAUGAUUUAUCGCCAUAGGAUGGGACUGCGGUCUAUCAGCUUGUUGGUGAGGUAAUGGCCCACCAAGGCUAUAACAGAUACGGGCUCUGAGAGGAGGGGCCCGGAGAUGGGUACUGAGACACGGACCCAGGUCCUAUGGGGCGCAGCAGGCGAGAAACCUUUGCAAUGUGCGAAAGCACGACAAGGUUAAUCCGAGUGAUUCCUGCUAAAGGAAUCUUUUGUUAGUCAUAAAACCACUGAUGAAUAAGGGGUGGGCAAGUUCUGGUGUCAGCCGCCGCGGUAAUACCAGCACCUCGAGUGGUCAGGAGGUUUAUUGGGCCUAAAGCAUCCGUAGCCGGCUGUUCAAGUUUCCGGUUAAAUCCACACGCUUAACGUAUGGGCUGCCGGAAAUACUGUUCAGCUAGGGAGUGGGAGAGGUAGACGGUACUCGAUAGGUAGGGGUAAAAUCCUUUGAUCUAUUGAUGACCACCUGUGGCGAAGGCGGUCUACCAGAACACGUUCGACGGUGAGGGAUGAAAGCUGGGGGAGCAAACCGGAUUAGAUACCCGGGUAGUCCCAGCUGUAAACGAUGCAGACUCGGUGAUGCAUUGGCUUGUGGCCAGUGCAGUGCCGCAGGGAAGCCGUUAAGUUUGCCGCCUGGGAAGUACGUACGCAAGUAUGAAACUUAAAGGAAUUGGCGGGGGAGCACCACAAGGGGUGAAGCCUGCGGUUC